rnacentral:rRNA from 1 species
GUGCGGAACACGUACGCAACCUUCCUUCAAGCGGGGAAUAGCCCACAGAAAUUUGGAUUAAUACCCCAUAAGAAUGUGGAUCGGCAUCGAUCAGCAUUUAAAGAUUUAUCACUUGAAGAUGGGCGUGCGUCUGAUUAGGUAGUUGGUGAGGUAACGGCUCACCAAGCCGACGAUCAGUAACUGGCGUGAGAGCGCGACCAGUCACACGGGCACUGAGACACGGGCCCGACUCCUACGGGAGGCAGCAGUAAGGAAUAUUGGUCAAUGGACGGAACUCUGAACCAGCCAUGCCGCGUGGAGGAUGAAUGCCCUCUGGGUUGUAAACUUCUUUUAUCUGGGACGAAACACUUCUUUUCUAAGAGGCUUGACGGUACCAGAGGAAUAAGCACCGGCUAACUCCGUGCCAGCAGCCGCGGUAAUACGGAGGGUGCAAGCGUUAUCCGGAUUCACUGGGUUUAAAGGGUGCGUAGGCGGAUCUGUAAGUCCGUGGUGAAAUCUCCAAGCUUAACUUGGAAACUGCCAUGGAUACUAUAGAUCUUGAAUGUUGUGGAGGUUAGCGGAAUAUGUCAUGUAACGGUGAAAUGCUUACAUAUGACAUAGAACACCGAUUGCGAAGGCAGCUGGCUACACAACUAUUGACGCUGAGGCACGAAAGCGUGAGGAUCAAACAGGAUUAGAUACCCUGGUA